rnacentral:misc_RNA from 1 species
ACACCUCAACUCUCAUGGUUUGCCGUGAUGAGCUUGGACUUCUGGAGGUUUUGCUGGCCUUUGGUCGGCUCCUCUCAAACGAAUCAGCUUGCCAGUGUUUGGUGGCGUCAUGGGUGUGAUAAAUAUCUACGCUUGUGGCCGUCUGCCAGGUAACCUUCAGCGAUGGAGGUUCGCUGGAGCUCACAAAGGUCUUCCUCAGCGAAGACAGCUUUUUGAAC